GGGAAGUAGCUGAGCCAAUACAUGGCUUCUAACCAUGUAAAGAGAGGUCUGAUUCCUUUCACCUCCCU
rnacentral:tRNA from 1 species